rnacentral:rRNA from 1 species
UACGGGGGGAGCAAGCGUUGUUCGGAUUUACUGGGCGUAAAGGGCGCGUAGGCGGGCGCGACAAGUCACUUGUGAAAUCUCCGGGCUUAACUCGGAGCGGCCAAGUGAUACUGUCGUGCUAGAGUGCGGAAGGGGCAACUGGAAUUCUCGGUGUAGCGGUGAAAUGCGUAGAUAUCGAGAGGAACACCUGCGGCGAAGGCGGGUUGCUGGGCCGACACUGACGCUGAAGCGCGAAAGCCAGGGGAGCGAACGGG